CUUGCCGAUCAGAAGGUCAGCGGUUUGAAUCCCCGUGACAGGGUGAGUUCCCGUUGCUCGGUCCCUGCUCCUGCCAACCUAGCAGUUCGAAAGCACGUCAAACUGCAAGUAAAUAAAUAGGUACCGCUCUGGCAGGAAGGUAAACGGCGUUUCCGUGCGCUGCUCUGGUUCGCCAGAAGCGGCUUAGUCAUGCUGGCUACAUGCUCCCUCAGCCAGUAAAGCGAGAUGAGCGCCGCAACUCCAGAGUUGGUCACGACUGGACCUAAUGGUCAGGGGUCCCUUUACCUUUACCUUUAUGUAUAGGGUGCCUACAUUCUGCAUGGACUGGUUGUAACACUUACUUGGAUAAAAUACAUGUUAACAUGUAAAUGGCUUUAGAUACCUAUUAGGUCUGUAAAUUACCAUAUAGCAUAUAUUCAACACAAAAACUAGAGACAACUUGUUAUUGACGAAGGACAGCUGGACAUAUAAAGGGCCCCAUUGCCUUCAGUAGCUUAGGGCCUCAUCAAACCUAAAUCCAUAGCUGUCAACUUUUCCCUUUUCUUGCGAGGAAUCCUAUUCGGAAUAAGGGAAUUUCCCUUAAAAAAAGGGAAAUGUUGACAGCUAUGUCUAAAUCCGGCCCUGAGUUCAGACCUAGGCAAACCAUCUGAGGAAGGGGGCAAGUUUGUGACCCAUCUGCACUACACAUUCAAAGCAGUAUCUUACCACUUUAAUUAAGCAUGGCUUCUCCCAGUGAAUCCUGGGAACUGUAGUUUAAAGGUGCCAGAGACGCAGCAUGGGGGGGGGGGGAGGCUACCAAGGUGAUCGCGCUGGGUGCAACCAUUUUUAGGGGGGAGCCUCUGCAGCUGCUGCCCCGACUGGAGGUGCUCCCCGUUCUGCCCGCCUCACCGAAGCAGCACACUGAGCAAGAAGUGGGGAGGAUAGGCCAGUGGUGGUCAAACUCUCCCCUCUAGCUGUUUUGGGACUACAAUUCCCAUCAUCCCUGACCACUGGUCCUGUUAGCUAGGGAUGAUGGGAGUUGUAGUCCAUAAACAGCUGGAGGGCCAAGUUUGGCCACCACUGGGGUAGGCCCUUGCGUCCCCCACCAGUGGUGGAGGCGGGCAGAGGGCAAGGCUCACAGCGGUGGCAGCGCCCCAGCCUGAGGAGGUGCACACACAUGUCCCACUGCUGCUCUGCAGCUUUGUCCAGCAGCAGCAGCAGUGCUGCAAGGAGGCAUAAUAAUUUCCUUGCCCUGGGCUCUGGCAACCCAUGCUACACCACCGAUAUGGCUUGACAGGGCCGUCUCAGGACAUUUUGCUGCCUGAGGCAAAAUGGACAGAUUGCCACUGAAGGGUGCUGAAAGUCGUUAGGACUCUCACGGAGCUCCCAUUCCCAGAGCUCCCUGGGGGGAGGAAAGCGACUGGGAAACCACUCUGAGAACUGUAGUGGCAUGGAAUAGAGGCCUCCCAGCAACUCACAGCUCUUGAACUAUAGUUCCCAGGGUUCUUUAGCGGAAGCCAUGACUGUUUCCAUUGGUAUGGUGCUGCUUUAAACCAGCGGUUCUCAACCUGUGGGUCCCCAGAUGUUGUUGGACUACAACUCCCAUCAUCCCUGAGCUCUGGCCUUGCUAGCUAGGGGUGAUGGGAGUUGUAGUUCAACAACAUCUUAGGACCCACAGGUUGAGAAAGGCUGGAAUAUACAGUCAGAGGGGCAUUGUAUUGGCAAGUUAACCCUUUCUCCCCUUUGGUGUAACCUUUGUUGGGGGCGGGCACCCAUGCAAGUGGUGGGCGGGGCCAGAGGCAAAUAAUGGGCGGAGCAACAGGUGUAACUUUUGCCUCUGCUACAUUCCAGCCUCACAACACUCAGAGGCAUCUUCAAGCCUCUAUCCAGGCAGGCAAGGAUCUUCCCAGUUCAAGGACAACAUCCCAGCCAGUUUAAUGGACUUGAGGAGUGUCCAUUGCAGGGGCAAUGAGGGGGUUAGCCCAGGUUUGCCAAGCCAAGCUCACGGGCAGCACCAAUGGUUUUGGGGCACCUCUGCUGGUCUGCAAAGAGGGAAAAGUUCCUUCGCAAACACGACUUGCAUCCCCUGCAAAGGGGUUUCAUAUAAACCCCAACCAGCCAAUAGGCACCCCUUUGUAAUUGUCCCCUGCGUCAAUGUGGUGGUGGUGGGGAGGAUGGUCAGGAUCUGGCCUAUGGGCCAAAUAACAGAAGUGACAGCCAGCGUGGUUUUCUAUCUGACCUGGGUCCAGAGAACUCCAUUUCCUGGUUAUGUAUUCAUGACAACGCUCAAUACAAAUCAGUGUGUUUAAAAAUAUAUAUAUCAUGAUGGUGAUAGCUGCAUAUGGGAGAUCUGAACCUCAUUCGUUUAAGGCUUAAACUGCUUUCGCUGACAUUUUAAAUGGCUCCUCUCUCCGUAUUCUGGAGAGAUACCAAGAAAUGCGAUAAUAUAACUCAAGUUUAAAGGGAAGGGUGAGGGAGCUGAGGGACGGCAAGCGAGGAGGUUGGGAGGGUUAACAGAGAGCAACCCUCCCCAAAAAAGGCAAUGAAAGCAGGUGCUCAGGCAAGAAGUCCCUUCUGGGUCCUGAUAUGCAUUAUCCCACCAGCACCACCUUGCUUUGAUCUGCUGCAGCUGCUUAGGAUGUGCUUUAGCAGCACUCGGUCUUCCCGUCUGUGAAAUGGGAGCAACAGAGGUCUACCUUGUAGAUCUGGUUGGUGCAGGUGCUUAAGAUAUGGGGCUUAAUUGCAGUUACUAAAUGAAUAAAUAGCAAGCACCGCGCUACAACUACGUCCAUUUCAGCUGAGGGAGCAGAUACUGAGCAACUAACAGUGCCGGCCUGAGGGUAAGGUAAGUUUUUCACGCCAUCUGAAACUGCUACCCGGAGUCAAGUGCAACUCAUAUGAGCCAGCUGGGUAGCAAAGGGAGAGAGAAAACAGAACUCCUUUUGCCUUGACUAGAUAGAAACAUCUGGCAGGUGUAUAAGAUCAGAUCCAAGGUGUUUGGUCUUUUACUUCAAUCUGAAUUUAAUCUUGCCUCUCUCGACAUGGCACCCUCUGGACUACAACUCCCAUAAAGCCCAGCCACCAUGUCGUCUGUGCCAGGGCCACAGCUCAGAGCAUCUACUUUGCAUGAAGGUCUCAGGCCCAUAGCUGUCAAGUGUCCCUUAUUUGGCGGGACAGUCCCUCAUCCCAGAGCCAUGUCCCACUGCUGUCCCUUAUUGAUGAUGUCCCUUAAAUAAGCUACUGAAGGUAAUGGGGCCCUUUCUAUGUCCAGCUGUCCUUUGUCAACAACAAAUUGUUGCUGUUUUUUGUGUGUUGAAUAUAUGCUAUAUGGUAAUUUAUGGACCUGAUAGGUAUCUAAAGCCAUUUGCAUGCAACAAAAUAUGUAUUUUAUCAAAGUAAUUGUUGAUCCCUUAUUUUGGCUGCUGAUCCCUUAUUUUCGAGGCUGCUGGUCCCUUAUUUUCAAAUCUGUAAGUUGACAGCUAUGCUCAGGCCCCAUCCACUCUCUCUGCAUAAUACUCAUUCUUCAUUUGCAAGAAACCACACUUUGAGUACCAACUGUGGUAGAAUGUCAGAUGAAGACGAUGGAUUUUUCGGAGCUAGCAGACCUGACCGGAAGAGUCCGCGACCAAGAGGAGGAGGAGUAUCAGGAAGAAUGGACAAAAUUUAAUGACUAUUUAGUUAAAUAUGCUAAGUUAAAUUAAUUGGAAAAAGCUUGCAAUUACCAGAUAG